rnacentral:rRNA from 1 species
GACAGAGGGUGCUAGCGUUGUUCGGAAUUACUGGGCGUAAAGGGCGCGUAGGCGGUCUGUUAAGUUCGGUGUGAAAUCCCCUGGCUCAACUGGGGAACUGCGCUGGAAACUGGCAGACUCGAGUACCGGAGAGGAGAGUGGAACUGCGAGUGUAGAGGUGAAAUUCGUAGAUAUUCGCAAGAACACCAGUGGCGAAGGCGGCUCACUGGCCCGGUACUGACGCUGAGGCACGAAAGCGUGGGGAGCAAACAGG